rnacentral:misc_RNA from 1 species
UCCGGUUUGGCACCGGCAGUCUUCCUAGAGUCCCCGACUUUACUCGCUGGUAACUAGGAACGGGGGUUGCGCUCGUUGCGGGACUUAACCCAACAUCUCACGACACGAGCUGACGACAGCCAUGCAGCACCUGUGCACGGACUCCGAAGAGCGACCGUCGUUUCUGACGAUCUUCCCGUGCAUGUCAAGCCUGGGUAAGGUUCUUCGCGUUGCGUCGAAUUAAACCACAUGCUCCACCGCUUGUGCGGGCCCCCGUCAAUUCCUUUGAGUUUCAGCCUUGCGGCCGUACUCCCCAGGCGGGGCACUUCCUGCGUUAGCGCCGGCACUCAGGGGGUCGCUCCCCCAAGCACCUAGUGCCCAUCGUUUACGGCGUGGACUAC